rnacentral:rRNA from 1 species
CGUGUAGAUGGCUUUUUUAAGUCAGCUGUGAAAUCUCCUGGCUCAACCGGGAGAGGUCAGUUGAUACUGAGGAGCUUGAGGGCAGCAGAGGAAGAUGGAAUUCCCGGUGUAGUGGUGAAAUGCGUAGAUAUCGGGAGGAACACCAGUGGCGAAGGCGGUCUUCUGGGCUGUUUCUGACAUUGAGGCGCGAAAGCGUGGGGAGUGAAGCGGAUCAGAUACCCGCGUAAUCCAUGCUAUAAACGGUGGAUACUAGGUAUGGGGGGUAUCGACCCUCUCCGUGCCGCAGCUAACGUUUUAGUAUCCCGCCUGGGACUACGGCCGCAAGGUUAAA